rnacentral:rRNA from 1 species
CCCUUAGAUGUUCUGGGCCGCACGCGUGCUACACUGAGUGGAUCAGCGGGUCAGGUUGCGCGAAAGCGUUUCCUAAUCUUUAAAUCCGCUCGUGAUGGGGAUUGACGGUUGCAAUUUUCUGUCAUGAACGAGGAAUACCUUGUAAGCGCGGGUCAUCAUCCCGCGCUGAAUACGUCCCUGCCCUUUGUACACACCGCCCGUCGCUCCUACCGAUUGAGUGGUCCGGUGAGGCUUUGGGAUCUGAGCGGAAAGAGCGUUUCGCUGUUUCUGCUCGGAAAACUCAGUCGAACCUUAUCAUUUAGAGGAAGGGGAAGGCGUAACA